rnacentral:rRNA from 1 species
GACGUAGGGCGCGAGCGUUGUCCGGAUUUAUUGGGCGUAAAGAGCUCGUAGGCGGCUUGUCGCGUCUACCGUGAAAACUUGGGGCUCAACCCCAAGCCUGCGGUCGAUACGGGCAGGCUAGAGUUCGGUAGGGGGAGACUGGAAUUCCUGGUGUAGCGGUGAAAUGCGCAGAUAUCAGGAGGAACACCAAUUGCGAAGGCAGCUCGCUGGGACGUUACUGACGCUGAGGAGCGAAAGCGUGGGGAGCGAACAGG